UAGCUAAUCCUGGUCGGACAUCAGGAGGUUAGUGCAAUGGCAUAAGCUAGCUUGACUGCGAGCGUGACGGCGCGAGCAGGUGCGAAAGCAGGUCAUAGUGAUCCGGUGGUUCUGAAUGGAAGGGCCAUCGCUCAACGGAUAAAAGGUACUCCGGGGAUAACAGGCUGAUACCGCCCAAGAGUUCAUAUCGACGGCGGUGUUUGGCACCUCGAUGUCGGCUCAUCACAUCCUGGGGCUGAAGUAGGUCCCAAGGGUAUGGCUGUUCGCCAUUUAAAGUGGUACGCGAGCUGGGUUUAGAACGUCGUGAGACAGUUCGGUCCCUAUCUGCCGUGGGCGCUGGAGAAUUGAGGGGGGCUGCUCCUAGUACGAGAGGACCGGAGUGGACGCAUCACUGGUGUUCGGGUUGUCAUGCCAAUGGCACUGCCCGGUAGCUAAAUGCGGAAGAGAUAAGUGCUGAAAGCAUCUAAGCACGAAACUUGCCCCGAGAUGAGUUCUCCCUGAGACUUUAAGUCUCCUGAAGGAACGUUAAAGACGAUGA
rnacentral:rRNA from 1 species